rnacentral:rRNA from 1 species
AGCAGCCGCGGUAAUUCCAGCUCCAAUAGCGUAUAUUAAAGUUGUUGCAGUUAAAAAGCUCGUAGUUGAAUUUCGGGGUCAAUACGUCGGUCGUGCCUUCGGUACGUACUGGUGUUAUUGAUCUCUCCCUUCUGAUGAAUCAUGAUGUCAUUAAUUUGGUGUCGUGGGGAGUCAGGACUGUUACUUUGAAAAAUUAGAGUGUUUAAAGCAGGCUUACGCUUGAAUACAUUAGCAUGGAAUAAUGAAAUAGGACGUUCGAUCCUAUUUUGUUGGUUUCUAGGAUCAACGUAAUGAUUAAUAGGGAUAGUUGGGGGCAUUAGUAUUCAAUUGUCAGAGGUGAAAUUCUUGGAUUUAUUGAAGACUAACUACUGCGAAAGCAUUUGCCAAGGAUGUUUUCAUUAAUCAAGAACGAAAGUUAGGGGAUCGAAGACGAUCAGAUACCGUCGUAGU